rnacentral:rRNA from 1 species
GAUGAACGCUGGCGGCGUGCCUAAUACAUGCAAGUAGAACGCUGAAGGAGGAGCUUGCUCUUCUGGAUGAGUUGCGAACGGGUGAGUAACGCGUAGGUAACCUGCCUGGUAGCGGGGGAUAACUAUUGGAAACGAUAGCUAAUACCGCAUGACAACAGUUAUUGCAUGAUAACUGUUUAAAAGGGGCAACUGCUCCACUACCAGAUGGACCUGCGUUGUAUUAGCUAGUUGGUGAGGUAACGGCUCACCAAGGCGACGAUACAUAGUCGACCUGAGAGGGUGAUCGGCCACACUGGGACUGAGACACGGCCCAGACUCCUACGGGAGGCAGCAGUAGGGAAUCUUCGGCAAUGGACGGAAGUCUGACCGAGCAACGCCGCGUGAGUGAAGAAGGUUUUCGGAUCGUAAAGCUCUGUUGUAAGAGAAGAACGAGUGUGAGAGUGGAAAGUUCACACUGUGACGGUAUCUUACCAGAAAGGGACGGCUAACUACGUG